UACGGGGGGGGUAAGCGUUGUUCGGAAUCACUGGGCGUAAAGGGCGCGUAGGCGGCCACCGCAAGUCGACUGUGAAAUCUCCGGGCUUAACCCGGAAAGGUCAGCCGAUACUGCGGGGCUAGAGUGCAGAAGGGGCAACUGGAAUUCUCGGUGUAGCGGUGAAAUGCGUAGAUAUCGAGAGGAACACCUGCGGCGAAGGCGGGUUGCUGGGCUGAUACUGACGCUGAGGCGCGAAAGCCAGGGGAGCGAACGGG
rnacentral:rRNA from 1 species